rnacentral:rRNA from 1 species
AACGAACGCUGGCGGCAUGCCUAACACAUGCAAGUCGAACGAGACCUUCGGGUCUAGUGGCGCACGGGUGCGUAACGCGUGGGAACCUGCCUUUAGGUUCGGAAUAACUCAGAGAAAUUUGAGCUAAUACCGGAUGAUGUCUUCGGACCAAAGAUUUAUCGCCUUUAGAUGGGCCCGCGUUGGAUUAGCUAGUUGGUGGGGUAAAGGCCUACCAAGGCGACGAUCCAUAGCUGGUCUGAGAGGAUGAUCAGCCACACUGGGACUGAGACACGGCCCAGACCCCUACGGGAGGCAGCAGUGGGGAAUAUUGGACAAUGGGCGAAAGCCUGAUCCAGCAAUGCCGCGUGAGUGAUGAAGGCCUUAGGGUUGUAAAGCUCUUUUACCCGAGAUGAUAAUGACAGUAUCGGGAGAAUAAGCUCCGGCUAACUCCGUG